GGGUGGGAGCAUGUUGGUUUAAAUUCGACCGCAACGGGCAGAACCUUACCAGGGUUUGACAUCCUGAGACCGCUUCCUUAAAUGGGAGUUUUCCCGCAAGGGACUCAGGAGACAGGUGCUGCAUGGCUGUCGUCAGCUCGUGUCGUGAGAUGUUGGGUUAAGUCCCCGCAACGAAGCGGCAACCCUCGCCUUUAGUUGCCAUCAUUCAGUUGGGCACUCUAGAGGGACCGCCGGCGACAAGCCGGAGGAAGGUGGGGAUGACGUCAAGUCCUCAUGGCCCUUACACCCUGGGCUACACACGUGCUACAAUGGCGGUGACAGUGGGCAGCUACUUCGCGAGGAGCGGCUAAUCCCAAAAAACCGUCCCAGUUCAGAUGCACUCUGCAACUCGAGUGCAUGAAGGUGGAAUCGCUAGUAAUCGCAGAACAGCAGGCUGCGGUGAAUACGUUCCCGGGCCUUGUACACACCGCCCGUCACAGCAUGGGAGUUGGUUUUACCCGAAGACGGUGCG
rnacentral:rRNA from 1 species